UAUUUCUUCGGGCAAAGCAAACUAACACUGGUAAAAUACGCAAGAUGGGGAAGAAUAUACUUCCACUACUUCGAAAUUCGAAACUCACAGCGACUAAAAUAACCAUAACGUGUAGCUGCUUGACAAGGAGAAUACAGAAAUAAAGAGAAGAACGUUUCUUCAUGAUUUAUCAAAACCUUUGGAAACAAUGGUCCAGCUGCGGUAAAAUUAUAUUCAGAAAGUACAAGUCACUACAGCAGAGUCAUUUUAUCUCACAGGCGACAGGAAUGGGACGGUUUAAAGUUUACGUCACUCGUCCGAACGUGCCACAGUCUGCAAUUCAGUUGUUGCAGGAAAGUUGUGAUGUCACUGUUUGGCAACAAGAAUGCCCUGUGAAAAGAGCAGAACUCAUGACGCAAAUCAAAGGAAAGGAUGCACUAUUUUGUUUGUUGACGGAUAAAAUUGACAAGGAAGUGUUGGAUAGCGCAGGGCCAGACUUAAAAGUUAUUGGUACAAUGUCUGUAGGGUACGAUCAUAUUGAUGUACAUGAAGUCAAGAAGCGUGGCAUCAAAAUUGGGUAUACUCCAGAUGUUCUCACUGAUGCAGUGGCUGAUCUUACUGUUGCCUUACUACUUGCAACUUCCAGACGACUCUUUGAGAGCCACAAUGAAAUACUGAAGGGCCAGUGGGGACCUUGGUCACCAUUGUGGAUGUGUGGACCAGCACUAAAGGGUUCUACCAUAGGCAUGGUUGGAUAUGGGCGUAUUGGGCGUGCUACUGCUCGACGUUUAGUGCCGUUUGGUGUCGGUCGCACACUCUACUGGGGCCGGUCUGACCAUGGAGAUCCUGACAAUAUUGGUGCAAAAUUCUGCCCGGAGCUAACAAAUCUUCUGGCUGAAAGUGACUUUGUGGUUGUCACAUGUGCCCUAACUACAGAUACUCAUGAAAUGUUUGAUGAGAAAGCUUUUGCAGUCAUGAAACCUUCUGCAGUCUUUAUCAAUACAAGUCGUGGUGGUGUGGUGAAGCAAGAUGCACUUAUCAAAGCACUGGAGACCAAACAAAUCUGGGCUGCCGGUCUUGAUGUUACUACCCCAGAGCCAUUGUCUCCAGACCAUCCUUUGCUGAGUCUGAGGAAUUGUGUUGUGAUUCCUCACAUUGGUAGUGCAACAACACAAGCAAGGACAGAAAUGGCAAUGCUCACUGCUCGAAAUAUUUUAGCUGCCUUGAAUGGAGAGCCUCUCCCGGCUGAAAUAAAGUAGAGAUGCAAAUCGAAGGAACAAUGUCUACAGUAAUCUCCCACAGAAUGUUAAAUAUCUGUAGCCUGGUUACAAAGAUUCCAUUUAGCAAAAGUUUCAGGAGAGGUUUUAUUUUUCUGAAAAGUGCAGACAAGUUGAGCAUACAUUCGUUGAUGGACACUUAGAGCUUACAUUGUAUAGAAUUACAGAUAAGUGUCAAAACAAUGGAAUCUUUAAGUCACCAAAAACUGCUACUUGAUAAAUACGCCAUGUUUUAGAUAUAGAGAAGCUUGAUUCAAGAUACAUAUGAAUAGUUCUUCCUCUACUGUAGUGUAAUUCUGUCUCUUUAAUCUGUUUGACAAAAUGUAUUACUGAACUGAUUUUCUUUUGAUAAAUGCCAGCCUUCCUCUAACCACUUCUUGUUUCAACAGGAGUUAGAGCUCCGUCUUUCUUAAAUCGUGUAAGAACCCCUUCAACUCCAUGUUUUGUAAUAACUGAAAUCCAAUAACUAUCCGCGUACAUACUUAUAUUCUGUUUCCUGCCACAGCUUCAUUUUACACUUUUAGUGGAUCCUGUUCCAUCUCCAAGUCUCUUUCUUUUUGGUAGAACUGUUGAACAAUACUUAUGAAGGAAGGCACCUUGCCUGGUUUUGUGUUUAAUGUCAUAAAACACAUGUGAAACCUAUUUAUAUCUUGUAUCUUCAACAAGCUGCAAUUUUUCUUUCCUUCAGGUAAUCCAUUUGGUCCAUACCUGAAAAUAAACAGUGGCAUUAAAACAAUAUAAACUUUAGUGGUAAUUGUUUGUACAUGGUUACAUUUAAUAUUAACUUCAGUGUCUUUUGUUUUACUCUUUCUCAGUUUGAUCGAUAUGAAAUUUUCUUCCUUCAUUCACAUGUAGGUGAUUCUUUCACAACUCCUUCCCUUAUUUCUGUUGGUAUAGUUCAACACAGUGUUAAUAAUACUUGUUAGUUAAUAAACUCUUUAGUAUUAAGCAAUAAUAGAUGCAGACCAUACUGCUUAUCAGUACGACUCUAAUAAAUGUUGUGAACUUGCAAGAUCGUGUGACAGAGUAAAGCCUUUGUGGAGAUGGCCAUUUUUGUCACCAACGUAAUUUAUGGCUUGCUGAUUUUGUAACUAAGGCAAAUGUUUAAAUGUGAAUUUAACAUGCUUCUGGCUGUUUUUGUCUCUACAGAAUAUCACAAUUGGAUGCCCUGCACUAUUUGCUCUUGGAAUCUGUCAUUAUCUAAUAUUGUAAAACAAUGGAGUUGGCCAUCUGCGUAGACAGGCUACAAAUAUAUAGUUUUAUGGUGAAUAUUGCUCGUACCAAAGUCUGUUUGUGAUAAAAAGCUGUAUGGAGUGAGAGAUUCUGAUGUAAAAUUAUAUUAAGACCUGUGGAUUAAAUGCAUUUACAAACAAAAAUUGAGAAGCAU